AAUAUUCCAUGGGCUCCAGAGCAAGGUCGGGGCACCUGGCCCCUGAUUUCAUGAUUCUCAGCCGACG
rnacentral:ribozyme from 1 species